CCCGCCACCUUCACUUUUCUUUCCUCUUUAUCAAACAUCAAAACAACGACACUAGUCGGCACACAACAAUACGAAUAAUGAACAAAUGACAAUAGCUCCAACAACCAGUACAAACAAUAUAUAACAACCAUUCUCAACCAAAACCAAACCCAUCUCCAAUAUCAACUCAUAGUACCUCUGACCCGAUUCAACGUUGACCCAAUUUUAACCAAAAAUUGAAUCAGAAUCUCAACAAAUCUGUGAUUUCCAAUAGCUCAGCACCAAAGCAUUUUGAAAUUGUACGAUUUCGUAUGAUUUUACAGCUCAUCACCUUAUCCUCAAGUGGAAAUUUGAAUUUCCUUCACAAAAUUUCAAAAUUACCCAUAUUAAUAAAAAAUCCCACAUCGUUGGAGAACAAUUCACUCUUCACUAUUGUUCCCUAUAAAAAUCUCAGUAUUGAGCAAAAGAGGGCAAGUCUUGGAAGGGAAAAAGAACCCCCAAGCAAAAAAAAUGUUGACAUCCUUGAGAAUUUCGAGUAAGAAAGAUUUUAAUUGAAAUUUUUCUUUUUCUUUAAAAGUUUUAUCUUUUGGUGGUGACGAGGAAACUAUAUCAAAGGCUCGAGUCACGUUUUGCUUCCCCUAAAAAGGCUCUUCCCAUGUGCAUUUCAUGAUGUGCCAAUGCGGCCUAUCCCUUUGAGUCGACUAUAUUUGGAGAAAGAAGUUACCAUGAGAAGAAGAAAAAGUGGAUCAAAACUCGUUUAUGAAGCUUCCAAUAGAUUUUAAAAGUUUUAAUUUCUUAUUACUUUACUUAUCUUAGUCAUUUAUUUUUUAUUUUAUUCAUUCAUUUGGGC